rnacentral:rRNA from 1 species
AGUGAACGCUGGCGGUAGACCUAACACAUGCAAGUCGAACGGCAGCACAGUAAGAGCUUGCUCUUACGGGUGGCGAGUGGCGGACGGGUGAGGAAUACAUCGGAAUCUACUUUUUCGUGGGGGAUAACGUAGGGAAACUUACGCUAAUACCGCAUACGACCUACGGGUGAAAGCAGGGGAACUUCGGACCUUGCGCGAUUGAAUGAGCCGAUGUCGGAUUAGCUAGUUGGCGGGGUAAAGGCCCACCAAGGCGACGAUCCGUAGCUGGUCUGAGAGGAUGAUCAGCCACACUGGAACUGAGACACGGUCCAGACUCCUACGGGAGGCAGCAGUGGGGAAUAUUGGACAAUGGGCGCAAGCCUGAUCCAGCCAUACCGCGUGGGUGAAGAAGGCCUUCGGGUUGUAAAGCCCUUUUGUUGGGAAAGAAAAGCAGCAGGUUAAUACCCCGCUGUUCUGACGGUACCCAAAGAAUAAGCACCGGCUAACUUCGUG